rnacentral:rRNA from 1 species
GACGAACGCUGGCGGCGUGCUUAACACAUGCAAGUCGAACGGAAAGACGCGGCGUUUGUUCGUUGCUCGUGUGGCGAGCGGGUGAGUAACACGUGAGGAACCCCUCCUUAACUUUGUGAUAACUUCAGGGAACUCCGGCGAAUAUCGCAUAUGAUCUACUGCUGCAUGUUGGUGGAUGGAAAGAUUCGGCCGUUCUGGAUGGAAUCGAGGCUUAUCCGCUGGAUUGUGGGGUAGGUGCGUUCAAAGGCUUUGACGGGUAGGCGGCCUGAGAGGGUGACCGGCCACAUUGGGCCUGAGAUACGGACCAGACGCGUACGGGCGGCAGCAGUGGGGAGUCUUGCACAAUGGGGGGAAGCCUGAUGUAGCAACGCCGCGUGCGGGAUGACGGCUUUCGGGUUGUAAACCGAUUUGGAAUGAGACGAAGCGUGCGUGACGGUAAUGGGUAAAGAAGCACCGGCUAACUACGUG